AAUGAACGUUGGCGGCGUGGAUUAGGCAUGCAAGUCGAGCGAGAACCCCGCAAGGGGGGACAGCGGCAAACGGGGUAGGAACGGGUGGGUGACGUACCCUUCGGCCGGGGAUAGCCACGGGAAACUGUGGGUAAUACCCGAUAAUCUCUCGGAAGGUAAUCUUUCGGGAGCAAAGGUGUGAUUUCUCCGGAGGAGCGGCCCGCCUCGUAUUAGCUUGUUGGUGAGGUAACGGCUCACCAAGGCGACGAUGCGUAGGGGGUGUGAGAGCAUGACCCCCACCACUGGGACUGAGAUACUGCCCAGACACCUACGGGUGGCUGCAGUCGAGAAUCUUCGGCAAUGGGCGCAAGCCUGACCGAGCGACGCCGCGUGUGGGAUGAAGGCCCUUGGGUUGUAAACCACUGUCAGAGGGGAUGAAAUGCCAGAGAGUUCUCUCUCUGGUUUGACAUAGCCUCAGAGGAAGCACGGGCUAAGUUCGUGCCAGCAGCCGCCGUAAGAC
rnacentral:rRNA from 1 species